CCUACGGGUGGCAGCAGUGAGGAAUUUUGGUCAAUGGACGCAAGUCUGAACCAGCCAUGCCGCGUGCAGGAAGACGGCUCUAUGAGUUGUAAACUGCUUUUGUACGAGGGUAAAUCCCGAUUCGUGUAUCGGGCUGAAAGGAUCGUACGCUUAAGGAUCGGCUAACUCCGUGCCAGCAGCCGCGGUAAUACGGAGGAUUCAAGCGUUAAGCGGAUUGAUUGGGUUGAAAGGGUGCGUAGGCGGUUCGAUAAGUUAGAGGUGAAAUCCCGGGGCUCAACUUCGGCACUGCCUAUGAUACUGUCGGGCUAGAGUGUAGUUGCGGGAGGCGGAAUGUAUGGUGUAGCAGUGAAAUGCGUAGAGAUCAUACAGAACACCGAUUGCGAAGGCAGCUUAC
rnacentral:rRNA from 1 species